AGCGUACACGGUGGAUGCCCUGGCAGUCAGAGGCGAUGAAGGACGUGCUAAUCUGCGAUAAGCGUCGGUAAGGUGAUAUGAACCGUUAUAACCGGCGAUUUCCGAAUGGGGAAACCCAGUGUGAUUCGUCACACUAUCAUUAACUGAAUCCAUAGGUUAAUGAGGCGAACCGGGGGAACUGAAACAUCUAAGUACCCCGAGGAAAAGAAAUCAACCGAGAUUCCCCCAGUAGCGGCGAGCGAACGGGGAGCAGCCCAGAGCCUGAAUCAGUGUGUGUGUUAGUGGAAGCGUCUGGAAAGGCGCGCGAUACAGGGUGACAGCCCCGUACACAAAAAUGCACAUACUGUGAGCUCGAUGAGUAGGGCGGGACACGUGGUAUCCUGUCUGAAUAUGGGGGGACCAUCCUCCAAGGCUAAAUACUCCUGACUGACCGAUAGUGAACCAGUACCGUGAGGGAAAGGCGAAAAGAACCCCGGCGAGGGGAGUGAAAAAGAACCUGAAACCGUGUACGUACAAGCAGUGGGAGCACAGAGCAAUCUGUGUGACUGCGUACCUUUUGUAUAAUGGGUCAGCGACUUAUAUUCUGUAGCAAGGUUAACCGAAUAGGGGAGCCGAAGGGAAACCGAGUCUUAACUGGGCGUUAAGUUGCAGGGUAUAGACCCGAAACCCGGUGAUCUAGCCAUGGGCAGGUUGAAGGUUGGGUAACACUAACUGGAGGACCGAACCGACUAAUGUUGAAAAAUUAGCGGAUGACUUGUGGCUGGGGGUGAAAGGCCAAUCAAACCGGGAGAUAGCUGGUUCUCCCCGAAAGCUAUUUAGGUAGCGCCUCGUGAAUUCAUCUCCGGGGGUAGAGCACUGUUUCGGCAAGGGGGUCAUCCCGACUUACCAACCCGAUGCAAACUGCGAAUACCGGAGAAUGUUAUCACGGGAGACACACGGCGGGUGCUAACGUCCGUCGUGAAGAGGGAAACAACCCAGACCGCCAGCUAAGGUCCCAAAGUCAUGGUUAAGUGGGAAACGAUGUGGGAAGGCCCAGACAGCCAGGAUGUUGGCUUAGAAGCAGCCAUCAUUUAAAGAAAGCGUAAUAGCUCACUGGUCGAGUCGGCCUGCGCGGAAGAUGUAACGGGGCUAAACCAUGCACCGAAGCUGCGGCAGCGACGCUGAUGCGUUGUUGGGUAGGGGAGCGUUCUGUAAGCCUGUGAAGGUGUGCUGUGAGGCAUGCUGGAGGUAUCAGAAGUGCGAAUGCUGACAUAAGUAACGAUAAAGCGGGUGAAAAGCCCGCUCGCCGGAAGACCAAGGGUUCCUGUCCAACGUUAAUCGGGGCAGGGUGAGUCGACCCCUAAGGCGAGGCCGAAAGGCGUAGUCGAUGGGAAACAGGUUAAUAUUCCUGUACUUGGUGUUACUGCGAAGGGGGGACGGAGAAGGCUAUGUUGGCCGGGCGACGGUUGUCCCGGUUUAAGCGUGUAGGCUGGUUUUCCAGGCAAAUCCGGAAAAUCAAGGCUGAGGCGUGAUGACGAGGCACUACGGUGCUGAAGCAACAAAUGCCCUGCUUCCAGGAAAAGCCUCUAAGCAUCAGGUAACAUCAAAUCGUACCCCAAACCGACACAGGUGGUCAGGUAGAGAAUACCAAGGCGCUUGAGAGAACUCGGGUGAAGGAACUAGGCAAAAUGGUGCCGUAACUUCGGGAGAAGGCACGCUGAUAUGUAGGUGAAGCGACUUGCUCGUGGAGCUGAAAUCAGUCGAAGAUACCAGCUGGCUGCAACUGUUUAUUAAAAACACAGCACUGUGCAAACACGAAAGUGGACGUAUACGGUGUGACGCCUGCCCGGUGCCGGAAGGUUAAUUGAUGGGGUUAGCGCAAGCGAAGCUCUUGAUCGAAGCCCCGGUAAACGGCGGCCGUAACUAUAACGGUCCUAAGGUAGCGAAAUUCCUUGUCGGGUAAGUUCCGACCUGCACGAAUGGCGUAAUGAUGGCCAGGCUGUCUCCACCCGAGACUCAGUGAAAUUGAACUCGCUGUGAAGAUGCAGUGUACCCGCGGCAAGACGGAAAGACCCCGUGAACCUUUACUAUAGCUUGACACUGAACAUUGAGCCUUGAUGUGUAGGAUAGGUGGGAGGCUUUGAAGUGUGGACGCCAGUCUGCAUGGAGCCGACCUUGAAAUACCACCCUUUAAUGUUUGAUGUUCUAACGUUGACCCGUGAUCCGGGUUGCGGACAGUGUCUGGUGGGUAGUUUGACUGGGGCGGUCUCCUCCUAAAGAGUAACGGAGGAGCACGAAGGUUGGCUAAUCCUGGUCGGACAUCAGGAGGUUAGUGCAAUGGCAUAAGCCAGCUUGACUGCGAGCGUGACGGCGCGAGCAGGUGCGAAAGCAGGUCAUAGUGAUCCGGUGGUUCUGAAUGGAAGGGCCAUCGCUCAACGGAUAAAAGGUACUCCGGGGAUAACAGGCUGAUACCGCCCAAGAGUUCAUAUCGACGGCGGUGUUUGGCACCUCGAUGUCGGCUCAUCACAUCCUGGGGCUGAAGUAGGUCCCAAGGGUAUGGCUGUUCGCCAUUUAAAGUGGUACGCGAGCUGGGUUUAGAACGUCGUGAGACAGUUCGGUCCCUAUCUGCCGUGGGCGCUGGAGAACUGAGGGGGGCUGCUCCUAGUACGAGAGGACCGGAGUGGACGCAUCACUGGUGUUCGGGUUGUCAUGCCAAUGGCACUGCCCGGUAGCUAAAUGCGGAAGAGAUAAGUGCUGAAAGCAUCUAAGCACGAAACUUGCCCCGAGAUGAGUUCUCCCUGACUCCUUGA
rnacentral:rRNA from 1 species